rnacentral:rRNA from 1 species
AUUGAACGCUGGCGGCAGGCUUAACACAUGCAAGUCGAGCGGGGAAAGGUAGCUUGCUACUUGACCUAGCGGCGGACGGGUGAGUAAUGCUUAGGAAUCUGCCUAUUAGUGGGGGACAACAUCUCGAAAGGGAUGCUAAUACCGCAUACGUCCUACGGGAGAAAGCAGGGGACCUUCGGGCCUUGCGCUAAUAGAUGAGCCUAAGUCGGAUUAGCUAGUUGGUGGGGUAAAGGCCUACCAAGGCGACGAUCUGUAGCGGGUCUGAGAGGAUGAUCCGCCACACUGGGACUGAGACACGGCCCAGACUCCUACGGGAGGCAGCAGUGGGGAAUAUUGGACAAUGGGGGGAACCCUGAUCCAGCCAUGCCGCGUGUGUGAAGAAGGCCUUUUGGUUGUAAAGCACUUUAAGCGAGGAGGAGACUACCGAGAUUAAUACUCUUGGAUAGUGGACGUUACUCGCAGAAUAAGCACCGGCUAACUCUGUGCCAGCCGCCGCGGUAACAC